ACGCACGCUGGCGGCGUGCUUCACACCUGCCAGUCGAACGGUGAAGCGCCUUCCUUUUUGGUGGGUGUGGAUGAGUGGCGAACGGGUGAGUAACACGUGAGUAACCUGCCCCCUUCUUCUGGAUAACCGCAUGAAAGUGUGGCUAAUACGGGAUAUUCUGGGUCUGUCGCAUGAUGGGUCUGGGAAAGAUAUUGUUUCGGUGGGGGAUGGGCUCGCGGCCUAUCAGCUUGUUGGUGGGGUGAUGGCCUACCAAGGCGGUGACGGGUAGCCGGCCUGAGAGGGUGGACGGUCACACGGGGACUGAGACACGGCCCAGACUCCUACGGGAGGCAGCAGUGGGGAAUAUUGCACAAUGGGCGCAAGCCUGAUGCAGCGACGCCGCGUGAGGGAUGGAGGCCUUCGGGUUGUGAACCUCUUUCGCCAGUGAAGCAGGCCUGCCUCGUUUGUGGGUGGGUUGACGGUAGCUGGAUAAGAAGCGCCGGCUAACUACGUG
rnacentral:rRNA from 1 species